GAGAAGAUAAGUGUAACUAUUUGGGUGUCUUUGUCCGAGGUUACAUCGAAAAUCGAAUCAUAGAAUAAGCAUGUAGAAAGCUAAAUUAUUCGUCGUUUGGACGAGGGUUCGAAACCCUCCGACUCCACUU
rnacentral:tmRNA from 1 species